rnacentral:rRNA from 1 species
CAGCCGCCGCGGGAAUACGUAGGGUGCAAGCGUUAAUCGGAAUUACUGGGCGUAAAGCGUGCGCAGGCGGUUAUAUAAGACAGAUGUGAAAUCCCCGGGCUCAACCUGGGAACUGCAUUUGUGACUGUAUAGCUAGAGUACGGCAGAGGGGGAUGGAAUUCCGCGUGUAGCAGUGAAAUGCGUAGAUAUGCGGAGGAACACCGAUGGCGAAGGCAAUCCCCUGGGCCUGUACUGACGCUCAUGCACGAAAGCGUGGGGAGCAAACAGGAUUAGAUACCCGUGUAGCCCUGUCUCUUAUACC